rfam:Triticum aestivum genome assembly, contig: Triticum_aestivum_CS42_TGACv1_scaffold_221851_3B
UAUAUACUCCCUCCGUUCGGAAUUACUUGUCGUAGAAAUGGAUGUAUCUAGAUGUAUUUUAGUUCUAGAUACAUCCAUUUUCGAGACAAGUAAUUCCGAACGGGGGGAGUAUCUC